GUAAAUCAUUGGUCUAAACUCAACUUUUCAGUAAGCCACACUUCCCUUCCGUGUGUCAUAUUGGCCUUUGAUGUUUUAGUCACAACAGGUACAUUAACACUUGGUUGUCAUAGGUUAAGGUCAGGGGUCUAGUCCUGAGGACCAAAAGUCUUGGCUUUUCAGCUUUCCAUUUUUCAGCAUUUCAGCUCAGCUUUGCACCAGAUCAAGGCCUGAAUUACACCGGAAAGCAAUAACGAGCAGGGCUGGUGCAGGAAAAGCCUUGCGCAUCUCCACACAAAUCUCAGCAACCGGAGAGCUUAUUGGCUGCAAGUUUGUCUUGAUCUUCAGCUGCUUCUCAGAGCAGCUGCCCAUUUGUCCUUCUCAAAGUCAGCCAGAAGGACCCUGCAGAGGUGGGGAGAAGAAACCAAGGAGUCAGAGACCCUAAAAGCCAAGUCACACAGUGAAGACCGAUUUAGCCUUGGCUCAGACGGUCAGCACUCCAUCACUGAUGAUACAGAGAGAAGGCUGAUGCUGGGAGCAACGGUCGUCCUCCUGACAAUGUUUGGAAGGAAAACUCCUUAGUCAGCAGCCCUGGAAAGCUUCAUUUUCAGUGAAAACUGGAUCCUUCUUUCCCAGGUUUUUUUGGGGGCUUGUGGCUGGAACCUAACAUCUGUGAGGCAGGCAGGACCUCACUGCCUCUGUGUCACCAGAUACCGAUUGAAAGGAUGCAUUCGGGGUAGAAAAUGUGGGCAGAGCCCACCAGUGACAACAGGUCUUUAUUUAAUACCACCCUCUACCGACCAGAAGGUGGGUGAGCUAUCGGCCCUGAGAGAGGAGCAAAGAUGAGAAACGUCCAGCCUAGCUCAGAUGUUAGUGGGGACCCACCAGGAAGCCCUUUCCCUAAGGGCUGACAAGCAAGCCACACAACCUGAACAUCUUCCUGACUGGAGGGGAGUGUUCGCCACCGGGUUAUUUAGCUCUGCGGGCUGGCCUCUCAGACAGGGUCCUCCCAGGCACUUCCAUCAGAAGUGACGCAUCAGCCUGCUCGACUUUGAACCGUCCUGUGGCGUGCUUCUGAAGAUUGUGAAAGAAGGGGCAGGAGCUGUUACUAAGGAUAAUCAUUUCAACACGGAACUUGGUAGGGAACGAAGCACACCACUGGCUCUUGGGCCCUGGCGGUUCCAGGAUUUCUCAGCUGUCCUCAAGCGUUCACCAGCCCCAUGGCGAAGGAACCCUGAAAUGCGGCCUGAACGUUGCUCCUGGGAAAGAAGCAGGAAUGAGGCAACUGGAGUCUGAAUCCUGGUAUGCCACUUCCUAACUGUGAGACUAGGAACCAGUCUGCCAAAUGGGGAUCAGCAUUAAAGUUAAAAAACAAACAAACAUGAAACCAGUCCUCUUAGAAUUAAAGAAAGAACUUUUGUUAAACAAAUUUGCACAAACUUGG
ensembl:lncRNA